ACAAACGCUGGCGGCGUGCGUAACACAUGCAAGUCGGACGGGGGGAUUUCCUUUGGGCAACCAAAGGGAGUCUUUCAGUGGCGGACGGGUGCGGAGCACGUGGAUGACCUAGCCUGGUGGUGGGGGAUACCCGGCAGAAAUGCCGGCUAAGACCGCAUACGUUCUGUGGCGUGCGAGCGCCAGAGAAGAAAGCUGUUGGAGGGGCAACGCUCCAGGAGCGCCGGAGGGGGGGUUCGCGGCCGAUUAGCUAGUUGGCGAGGUAAGGGCUCACCAAGGCGACGAUCGGUAGCUGGUCUGAGAGGAUGAUCAGCCACACUGGGAUUGAGAACGGCCCAGACUCCUACGGGGGGCAGCAGUGAGGAAUCUUCGGCAAUGGGGGCAACCCUGACCGAGCAACGCCGCGUGCGGGAGGACGCCUUUCGGGGUGUAAACCGCUUUGUGGGGGACGAGGUGGUGUCCGGGUCAAGCCGGAUGCUGGACGGUACCCCAGGAAGAAGCCUCGGCUAACUACGUGCCAGCAGCCGCGGUAAUACGUAGGAGGCGAGCGUUGUCCGGAGUUACUGGGCGUAAAGGGUGCGCAGGCGGACGGUUGCGGUUUGCGGUGAAAGCGCUGGGCUUACCUCAGCGAGGGCCGUGAAGACGGAUCGUCUUGAGGGGCGGAGAGGGACGUGGAAUUCCGGGUGGAGCGGUGAAAUGCGUAGAGAUCCGGAAGAACACCGACGGCGAAGGCAGCGUCCUGGCCGCCGCCUGACGCUCAGGCACGAAGGCGCGGGGAGCAAACAGGAUUAGAUACCCUGGUAGUCCGCGCGGUAAACGAUGUCCACCAGGUGCCGGGGGAUCGACCCCGUCGGUGCCGCAGCUUACGUGAUGAGUGGACCGCCUGGGGAGUACGGCCGCAAGGUUAAAACUCAAAGGAAUUGACGGGGCCCGCACAAGCAGCGGAGCGUGUGGUUUAAUUCGAUGCAACGCGAAGCACCUUACCCAGGCUUGACAUGCACCCGCACCAGGGGUAAUGCCCUGUGCCCGCAAGGGACGGGUGCACAGGUGCUGCAUGGCUGUCGUCAGCUCGCGCCGUGAGGUGUUGGGUUAAGUCCCCUAACGAGCGCAACCCUCAGGGUCGGUUACGUCUGGUCUGUCCGGCCCGACUGCCGCGCGCAACGCGGAGGAAGGUGGGGAUGACGUCAAGUCAGCACGGCCCUGACGCCUGGGGCGACACACACGCUACAAUGGCCGGGGCAGCAGGCGGCGCGGGGGCGACCCCUAGCCAAUCCCCAAGCCCGGUCUCAGUUCGGAUCGCAGGCUGCAACUCGCCUGCGUGAAGCCGGAGUUGCUAGUAACCGCGGGUCAGCACUACCGCGGUGAAUACGUUCCCGGGCCUUGUACACACCGCCCGUCACACCAUGGAAGCCGGCAACACCUGAAGCCGGUGGGCCAACUGGGGUAACCCCAGAGGCAGCCGUCGAAGGUGGGGUCGGUGACUG
rnacentral:rRNA from 1 species